rnacentral:rRNA from 1 species
AGAGUUUGAUCCUGGCUCAGGAUGAACGCUGGCGGCGUGCCUAAUACAUGCAAGUCGAGCGAACCACUUCGGUGGUGAGCGGCGAACGGGUGAGUAACACGUAGGUGAUCUGCCCAUCAGACGGGGACAACGAUUGGAAACGAUCGCUAAUACCGGAUAGGACGAAAGUUUAAAGGUGCUUCUGGCACCGCUGAUGGAUGAGCCUGCGGCGCAUUAGCUAGUUGGUAGGGUAAAGGCCUACCAAGGCGACGAUGCGUAGCCGACCUGAGAGGGUGAACGGCCACACUGGGACUGAGACACGGCCCAGACUCCUACGGGAGGCAGCAGUAGGGAAUCUUCGGCAAUGGGCGAAAGCCUGACCGAGCAACGCCGCGUGAAUGAUGAAGGCCUUCGGGUUGUAAAAUUCUGUUAUAAGGGAAGAACGACUUUAGUAGGAAAUGGCUAGAGUGUGACGGUACCUUAUGAGAAAGCCACGGCUAACUACGUGCCAGCAGCCGCUGUAAUACGUAGGUGGCGAGCGUUAUCCGGAAUUAUUGGGCGUAAAGAGCGCGCAGGUGGUUGAUUAAGUCUGAUGUGAAAGCCCGCGGCUUAACCGUGGAGGGUCAUUGGAAACUGGUCGACUUGAGUGCAGAAGAGGGAAGUGGAAUUCCAUGUGUAGCGGUGAAAUGCGUAGAGAUAUGGAGGAACACCAGUGGCGAAGGCGGCUUCCUGGUCUGUAACUGACACUGAGGCGCGAAAGCGUGGGGAGCAAACAGGAUUAGAUACCCUGGUAGUCCACGCCGUAAACGAUGAGUGCUAAGUGUUGGGGGUCGAACCUCAGUGCUGAAGUUAACGCAUUAAGCACUCCGCCUGGGGAGUACGGUCGCAGACUGAAACUCAAAUGAAUUGACGG